rnacentral:rRNA from 1 species
GAUGAACGCUGGCGGCGUGCCUAAUACAUGCAAGUCGAGCGAACAGAUAAGGAGCUUGCUCCUUUGACGUUAGCGGCGGACGGGUGAGUAACACGUGGGUAACCUACCUAUAAGACUGGGAUAACUUCGGGAAACCGGAGCUAAUACCGGAUAAUAUUUCGAACCGCAUGGUUCGAUAGUGAAAGAUGGUUUUGCUAUCACUUAUAGAUGGACCCGCGCCGUAUUAGCUAGUUGGUAAGGUAACGGCUUACCAAGGCGACGAUACGUAGCCGACCUGAGAGGGUGAUCGGCCACACUGGAACUGAGAAACGGUCCAGACUCCUACGGGAGGCAGCAGUAGGGAAUCUUCCGCAAUGGGCGAAAGCCUGACGGAGCAACGCCGCGUGAGUGAUGAAGGUCUUCGGAUCGUAAAACUCUGUUAUUAGGGAAGAACAUACGUGUAAGUAACUGUGCACGUCUUGACGGUACCUAAUCAGAAAGCCACGGCUAACUACGUG